rnacentral:rRNA from 1 species
GGUGAAAAGCACCCCGGAAGGGGAGUGAAAUAGAACCUGAAACCGUGUGCUUACAAGUAGUCAGAGCCCGUUAAUGGGUGAUGGCGUGCCUUUUGUAGAAUGAACCGGCGAGUUACGAUUUGAUGCAAGGUUAAGCAGUAAAUGUGGAGCCGUAGCGAAAGCGAGUCUGAAUAGGGCGUUUAGUAUUUGGUCGUAGACCCGAAACCAGGUGAUCUACCCUUGGUCAGGUUGAAGUUCAGGUAACACUGAAUGGAGGACCGAACCGACUUACGUUGAAAAGUGAGCGGAUGAACUGAGGGUAGCGGAGAAAUUCCAAUCGAACCUGGAGAUAGCUGGUUCUCUCCGAAAUAGCUUUAGGGCUAGCCUCAAGUGAUGAUUAUUGGAGGUAGAGCACUGUUUGGACGAGGGGCCCCUCUCGGGUUACCGAAUUCAGACAAACUCCGAAUGCCAAUUAAUUUAACUUGGGA